UCUGAUUUUGUUUGGUUCAAAUUUUAGGAGGGGAGGGGAGGGAAAUGGGGGGGAGCAAAUUCCCUCCAACCUCAACUUUUUGUUCCCCCCAAAAGUGGGGGAAUUUGGAGGGGAAAUAAAUUUCAGACAAAAAUAACCCUGCACAAAUUAAAAAAUUCCAAUUUAUCCUAUAGGGUUUCAUGUGUAUAUCCCCUUCUUCAUUUCACGUAUAGGUCAGCUUCUUCAUACCAACCACCUCUGGCCCCUUCUCUGGUCUCUCUCCGCCGGUGCCCCCCACUCCGCCGCCGCCUCUUCUCGGCUGCGCCGGCCCCUGCAUUCGCACCCCAACUGCAGCCCUUUCUUUGUCACCAAUUGAAUCAAUCAGAUGGAUGUUGAAGAUUCGAAUCAAACUUGGUACGAUUUGCAUCGAAGAAGUGCUGUAGCUCAGUUCAUGUGCCAUGUUGUUUAUUACCUUGUGCUUCAGAGGUCUCGUAAGAGAAAAAUUAGUUACAGUAUGAGCUCUGAGAGAGAAAGGGUGCGGGAAGAAAUAAUGGGUAGAAUCAGUAAUAGUGAAACCAGCAGACAUAUAUUGAGAAUGGGUCCUCAAGCCUUUUUAAUGCUAUGUGGUAUGUUAGAAAGAGAGGGGGGCUUACAACCCACAAGAUGGUCAAGUGUAGAAGAACAAGUUGCCAAAACAAUUUACAUAUUAACACACAAUGCUAAAAAUCGUGAAGUAAAUUUUUGGUUUCGUCGAUCUGGUGAGACGAUUAGUCGUCAUCUCCAUCAUGUGUUGAGAGCCCUCCUUCAAUUGGAAGCAAAGAAUUAUAAAGAACGCAUUAAGACGAGAAGAUAGGCUUAAAAUCCCUCAAGGUAAUGAGUAAAUUAAGUUUGCAAUUUAGGCAAUACUUGAUUUUAAAAUUAUCUCAUUGAUUACUCAACUUGAUUAUAGGAAAAGCUUUACUUUUCCAGGUUUUGCCUGUUUUGUAUACAUGUUACCUAACUUAGGGAAGCAUGUGUGACUAAUAUUGAAACCAUUUAGUAUUAAUUAGCGUCAAUGGUUCUGCAAAUUUGGAGGCUAUUUUAGAGCUGGUUAAGCGUGGUCAUUGUGUGAUGGUAAUUUCUUUUCUAAUGUUGAAUGGGGUGCUGUUGCUGGAAUAAUAGAAUUGCAGUAAAGUUGGAGUUGGUUUGCUUUUGCCAGCUAAUUCAAUCCUUGCUUGUUUCGAGGCUUCUGUUGUGGGUGGGUGGCAUGAAGGAUUUUGCUUAUAGUGCUACUGGAGAAGGGUCUUGAAUGUUACUAGUGGUCUUGACUAUUUUGCUCUUUUCCCUGGAAGUGUUCUCUAGUCUUUAUAACUUGUGUAUUAAUUUUUUAGGCACUGUUUCAGGGAUUUUUCCAGUUUUCUUUCUUAUUUGUAUUUUGCUUUUGCUCCGACUUGAAUAUUUUGUUGGAAGUGCAGAUCCUGAAAAAUUAUGCAGAAUAUUUUGUUGUGGUGAAGGUUUAAAAUUAUGCAGAAUAAUUGUUGAUGAAGAA